AUACGUAGGUGACAAGCGUUAUCCGGAUUUACUGGGCGUAAAGGGCGUGUAGGCGGUCUUGCAAGUCAGAAGUGAAAUUCCUGAGCUCGACUCGGGCGCUGCUUCUGAAACUGCAGGACUUGAGUGCUGGAGGGGAUAGCGGAAUUCCUAGUGUAGCGGUAAAAUGCGCAGAUAUUAGGAGGAACUCCGAUUGCGAAGGCAGUCCGCUGGGGCACGUCUGACGCUGAUGCUCGAAGGUGCGGGAAUCAAACAGGAUUAGAUACCCUGGUAGUCCGCACGGUAAACGAUGAUUACCCGCUGUCGGCGGUAGACAGUCGGCGGCCAAGCGAAAGCGAUAAGUAAUCCACCUGGGGAGUACGCCGGCAACGGUGAAACUCAAAGGAAUUGACGGGG
rnacentral:rRNA from 1 species